rnacentral:misc_RNA from 1 species
GAUGAAGAACGCAGCUAAAUGCGAUAAGUAAUGUGAAUUGCAGAAUUCAGUGAAUCAUCGAAUCUUUGAACGCACAUUGCGCCCGCCAGUAUUCUGGCGGGCAUGCCUGUUCGAGCGUCAUUUCAACCAUCAAGCCCCAGGCUUGUGUUGGGGACCUGCGGCUGCCGCAGGCCCUGAAAACCAGUGGCGGGCUCGCUGUCACACCGGGCGUAGUAGAUUUUAUCUCGCUCAGGGCGUGCUGCGGGUUCCGGCCGUUAAAAAGCCUUUUUUACCCAAGGUUGACCUCGGAUCAGGUAGGAAGACCCGCUGAACUUAAGCAUAUCAAUAAGCGGAGGA